rnacentral:lncRNA from 10 species
AUUCAAAGUUUUAACAUCUAGCUGAAAUAGUACAUUUGGUAAAUGCUAAAAAAAAUUAGCUGUGGAAUGAAAAUCCUGGCACUUUUCUAAUUUUUCUUAGGAAUUGUAACCAACACUUAAAAUAGUAAUACAUUCUCAUAGAGAAUCACAGGUAGACUAAAUAGUGAAGGUCUUAUUCUUGUCAGAGAAUACAUAUAAAAGCCAGAAAAGAUGGCUUUCUCUUGCAAAUGUGCAAACAUAAAUGCAAGAAAAUAAGGAUUACAAAGACUUGGG